rnacentral:misc_RNA from 1 species
UUGGAGGGCAAGUCUGGUGCCAGCAGCCGCGGUAAUUCCAGCUCCAAUAGCGUAUAUUAAAGUUGUUGCAGUUAAAAAGCUCGUAGUUGAAUUUCGGAAUCAACAUGUUGGUCGUGCCUUGGUACGUACUAAUUUAUUGGUUUCUUCCUUCUGACGAACCAUUAUGUCAUUAAUUUGGUGUCUUGGGGAAUCAGGACUGUUACUUUGAAAAAAUUAGAGUGUUUAAAGCAGGCUCACGCUUGAAUACAUUAGCAUGGAAUAAUGAAAUAGGACGUUUGAUUCUAUUUUGUUGGUUUCUAGGAUCGACGUAAUGAUUAAUAGGGAUAGUUGGG